rnacentral:lncRNA from 1 species
GCAGGAGUUAAAGAUGGAAACCAGAGGAGCCUGAGAAGCAGCCAGCCUUGGAGAGGAAAGGGAGCAGAUUAACCUGGAUCAUUUUCUGACAGGGUUUUCCUGAAUUUCUAAGGAUCUUGGUUGCUGUCUUAAAUGACACAUUCAGUCUUUGCUCAGUUGUCGUCUCCUUAUAGAAACCAAUCUAAACAUUUCCAGCCUGAAUUUUCUGUGGCCACACAGCCCCCAAAUAUCUGCUAUAAGACACAAGAUCAAAACUGCCCAAAACUGAAAAAGGAGAGAGGGAGAUUAUUGAUGAAAAUAUGA